rnacentral:rRNA from 1 species
AAGUAUCGGCUAAUAUCUGUGCCAGCAGCCGCGGUAACACAGAAGAUGCAAGCGUUAUUCGGUUUUAUUGGGUGUAAAGGGUUCGUAGGUUUUUUAUUAAGACUUUUACUAAAUAAUAAGAAAAUUUAUUACUAAAAAGUGACUAAUAAAAUUGAGUAUAAAAAUUUAGGGUAGAAGUAAUUUUUUGUGUAAUAGUAAAAUGUUUCUAUACAAAAGAGAGCAUCAAAGGUGAAGACAUUCUACUUAAUUUAUACUGACGUUGAGGGACGAAAUUUAUGGUAGCGAAUGGGAUUAGAUACCCCAGUAGUCAUAAACGUAAACGAUGAAUACUAAAUUUUAACUUUUAAAUAAUGUUAAAGUUAAAGUUAACACGUUAAGUAUUCCACCUGGGGAGUAUAUCUUAGCGAUGAAACUCAAAGGAAUUGGCGAGGGUCCUUAUUAACGAUGGAGUGUGUGGUUUAAUUCGAUAUUGAGCGAUUACCAAGUUUUUUAAUGAAUGAAUUUUUUUAUUUAUUGAAAAGGUGGUGCAUGGCUGUUGUCAGUUCGUGCUGUGAAGUGUUAGGUUCAGUCCUAUAACGAACGUAACCCCUUUAAUUUGUUAUAAGUAAACGCAUUUAUUAUAUUUAAUAACAAUAAACUCUUUUUAUAGAUUCUUUUUUGGAUUAUAAAAGGAUGUUUUAUUUUAUUUGUAUAUUUAUGUAAGUUAUUUAUCAAAAUUAAACAGCUAUAAAUAAAUUUAUUUGAUAAAAUAGAGGAAGAGGGACUAUAGCAAGUCAACAUGCCCCGUAUAAUUUGGGCUACGCGCGCACUACAAUGGAAUAUACAAUCUAUAUCUUAAAAAAAAUAUUCCUCAGUUCGGAUUGUGGGAUUAAGCUCGCCCACAUGAAGUAGGAAUCGUAAGUAAUCGUAUGCAGAAUCAUACGGUGAAAUAGUACCCUAUUUCUUGAUAGGAAAUAGGGCAAAUAGGGAUCUUGUACACACUGCCCGACACGUUAUGGUGAAACAAUUGUCUAAAGUCUUUUU